GAUAGGCUAAUUAAGAGCGUAAGGGGAAUGCCUUGGCUCUCAGAGGCGAUGAAGGACGUGAUAAGCUGCGAAAAGUUGCGGGGAGUGGCACAUACAUUAUAAUCCGCAAAUGUCCGAAUGGGGAAACCCGAUUAUUUGAAGAAUAAUCAUCCAUUUAUGGAAGCUAACCCGGAGAACUGAAACAUCUAAGUACCCGGAGGAAAAGAAAACAAUAGUGAUUCCGCUAGUAGUGGCGAGCGAACGCGGAAUAGCCCAAACCUGAAUUGUUUCGGCAAUUU
rnacentral:rRNA from 1 species